UAGGGAAUCUUCCGCAAUGGACGCAAGUCUGACGGAGCAACGCCGCGUGAGUGAAGAAGGAUUUCGGUUCGUAAAACUCUGUUGUUAGAGAAGAACAGCGCAUAGAGUAACUGUUAUGCGUGUGACGGUAUCUAACCAGAAAGCCACGGCUCACUACGUGCCAGCAGCCGCGGUAAUACGUAGGUGGCAAGCGUUGUCCGGAUUUAUUGGGCGUAAAGCGAGCGCAGGCGGUCAAUUAAGUCUGAUGUGAAAGCCCCCGGCUCAACCGGGGAGGGUCAUUGGAAACUGGUUGACUUGAGUGCAGAAGAGGAGAGUGGAAGUCCAUGUGUAGCGGUGAAAUGCGUAGAUAUAUGGAGGAACACCAGUGGCGAAGGCGACUCUCUGGUCUGUAACUGACGCUGAGGUUCGAAAGCGUGGGUAGCAAACAGG
rnacentral:rRNA from 1 species